CACUGAGAAGCUAAUCAGCGAUAACCUUUUAAGUUAGAGAUUGGAAGCCUUGAUCUUCCCUCAGUGG
rnacentral:tRNA from 1 species